UCCGGUUUGGCACCGGCAGUCUUCCUAGAGUCCCCGCCAUUACGCGCUGGCAACUAAGAACAGGGGUUGCGCUCGUUGCGGGACUUAACCCAACAUCUCACGACACGAGCUGACGGCAGCCAUGCAGCACCUGUGCAGGAUCUCCGAAGAGGGGCUCUCGUUUCUGAGAGCUUGCUCCUGCAUGUCAAGGGUAGGUAAGGUUCUGCGCGUUGCUUCGAAUUAAACCACAUGCUCCUCCGCUUGUGCGGGCCACCGUCAAUUCCUUUGAGUUUCAACCUUGCGGUCGUACUUCCCAGGUGGAUCACUUAAUGCUUUCGCUCAGACGCGUACAGUGUAUCGCACACAUCGAGUGAUCAUCGUUUAGGGCGUGGACUAC
rnacentral:misc_RNA from 1 species